UGAGGUAUGAAAGUCUAAGCAGACACAGACUUUUCCACUUUGGUUUGCCAAAGUACUCCAGUCAGGAUGAAGAGCUUGUAAGCUGUUCUGAUCCCCAGCAGAGGCAAAACUGAACCUGUCAGCCCUGAUGAUUAUUGUGAGUAACUAGAGUGGUUAAGGCUGUUAGCCUGCCAAGAGAGCCAUGGUGGACAACAAGGAAAUCAUCAGGUGUGCAAAAGGUUUCUGUGUCACACAGUCCAUAGAAAGGAAAUAACAAAAAGUUCAGAAUAAAGAAGACCUCGUUUCCACAGGGAGAAGAGAUCGUGCCAGAAGGUGCUGUAUAUCUUAGUCCUGGAUGUCAAACAUCCCUACCCAGACAAGCAGGAAAAUGGGUGGAAAAUCGUGGGACUGUCUGGGGACUGGGAGCAAAAGAGCCACAGCAAAGAAACUCAGUAGAUUCUUCACUUCCGUCUUGCAGUUUACAAAUCUGGAAAAUCCUUAUACAGUGUAAAAAGGAGGAGAUGCAUUCCUCAUGCCUCCCAGAGUCCAUUUCUGGGAGCCAUCUGCAGUCAUUUUUACAGUAAUAAAGGGUUGUAUUCAGAAUUGCUGGGGACAUCUGCUGAUAAGAGGCUAUUGAAUGUCACUGCAUGACUGAUAAGAACUAUAACCUCCCAUUGUGAGAUACUCAGCCCAGAGGGAGGAGCCAAGCAUUGCUACCCAGAUAUAAUCUGGAGGUUCUGACCCACCAGCACGACUUUCUCCACUGGCUUCCCCAGAUGAACAGCAGCUGCUUCUACUUCCAUGGAUCUGCAGAGGAAGAAUACAUCCUUUUUUCUACAGGACUCCCCUGCUCCAACAGAACCACACCUGACACUUCAGGAGGACUGCAGCCACUUUUCCAACUGGACUGCUACCAACACCCUGACCAACAGGGUGUCAGGUUGAAUUCUGACUCUGUCAGUGUCCUAGUGUAUUGCAUUGUUUUAUUUUAUCCUUUUUUUUUUUCCCUUCCCUAUUAAAGAACUCUUAUUUCCUGCUCCCA